UUCUUCGGAUGAUUUCCUAUUUGACUGAGCGGCGGACGGGUGAGUAACGCGUGGGUAACCUGCCUCAUACAGGGGGAUAACAGUUAGAAAUGACUGCUAAUACCGCAUAAGCGCACAGCUUCGCAUGAAGCAGUGUGAAAAACUCCGGUGGUACAAGAUGGACCCGCGUCUGAUUAGCUAGUUGGUGAGGUAACGGCCCACCAAGGCAACGAUCAGUAGCCGACCUGAGAGGGUGACCGGCCACAUUGGGACUGAGACACGGCCCAGACUCC
rnacentral:rRNA from 1 species